UCUGUAGCUGGUCUGAGAGGACGACCAGCCACACUGGGACUGAGACACGGCCCAGACUCCUACGGGAGGCAGCAGUGGGGAAUUUUGGACAAUGGGCGCAAGCCUGAUCCAGCCAUGCCGCGUGCGGGAAGAAGGCCUUCGGGUUGUAAACCGCUUUUGUCGGGGAAGAAAUCUUCUGAGUUAAUACCUCGGGAGGAUGACGGUACCCGAAGAAUAAGCACCGGCUAACUACGUGCCAGCAGCCGCGGUAAUACGUAGGGUGCAAGCGUUAAUCGGAAUUACUGGGCGUAAAGCGUGCGCAGGCGGUCUUGCAAGACAGAUGUGAAAUCCCCGGGCUUAACCUGGGAACUGCAUUUGUGACUGCAAGGCUGGAGUGCGGCAGAGGGGGAUGGAAUUCCGCGUGUAGCAGUGAAAAUGCGUAGAUAUGCGGAGGAACACCGAUGGCGAAGGCAAUCCCCCUGGGCCUGCACUGACGCUCAUGCACGAAAGCGUGGGGAGC
rnacentral:rRNA from 1 species